CUCAAAUGGGUUCUCUUUGAAUCCCAAAACAAUCACUGGGUUUUGAUUGAACAUUGAACAACCAAAACAAAGAGAGAGAGGCUGAGAGGGAGAGGCAAUGGCAGUGCCAUGGGCCAUGACUCUGUGGAUGGCAAAGAUGGUUUGGAUGGCUCUGUCUGGGUGGGUGUCUUCCUGUUUGACUGUUGCUGAUGAGGUUGCUGGCUCUCUUAGAAGCGGUGAUAUUGGAGCCUUCCAUGUUGGCUGAUUGGACUGUCAAAUUCACAACUCCAAAGCUUUCUGCUUAAAGGCAUUUGAUAUAAUAAAAUCAACACGGAGGAUUGAAGGGUGUGAAGGAGAUUUCAGUAUGCAUAUUUUGUUGAAUGCUUAAUGUUUAGGUAUGUGCAAGAAUGCACAUUGGCUUCCAGUUAUGAUCGGGUAGAUCAGCUGAGGCUAGUUGGAAACAAGAGAGGAGAUUGAAUACAUGGUUUGGGUUUUUAAAGCCCUCUCUAAGUUCAGUAGUUGAAUACUCUGUGCAAAUCUUCUUAAAUGGUUUAUGAUUCAUUUUCCAUUUUAAAACAAAUUGUAAAGCUUUGACAUACUUUAUACAAGAGGUUUGAUAUU